GUGCUCUUUUAGGCAGCACAUAUACUAAAAUUGGAAUGAUACAGAGAAGAUUAUCAUGGCCCCUGCACAAGGAUGACACACAAAUAAGCAUAUAAAAACAUGCUAAAUAU